UACGUAGGGGGCAAGCGUUGUCCGGAUUUAUUGGGCGUAAAGAGCGUGUAGGCGGCUAGGUAGGUCCGUUGUGAAAACUCGAGGCUCAACCUCGAGACGUCGAUGGAAACCAUCUAGCUAGAGUCCGGAAGAGGAGAGUGGAAUUCCUGGUGUAGCGGUGAAAUGCGCAGAUAUCAGGAGGAACACCGGUGGCGAAGGCGGAUCUCUGGGCCAUAACUGACGCUGAGGAGCGAAAGCAUGGGGAGCGAACAGG
rnacentral:rRNA from 1 species